rnacentral:rRNA from 1 species
AACGAACGCUGGCGGCAUGCCUAACACAUGCAAGUCGAACGAGAUCUUCGGGUCUAGUGGCGCACGGGUGCGUAACGCGUAGGAAUCUGCCCUUUGGUUCGGAAUAACAGUUGGAAACGACUGCUAAUACCGGAUGAUGACGAAAGUCCAAAGAUUUAUCGCCAGAGGAUGAGCCCGCGUAGGAUUAGCUAGUUGGUGUGGUAAAGGCGCACCAAGGCGACGAUCCUUAGCUGGUCUGAGAGGAUGAUCAGCCACACUGGGACUGAGACACGGCCCAGACUCCUACGGGAGGCAGCAGUGGGGAAUAUUGGACAAUGGGCGAAAGCCUAAUCCAGCAAUGCCGCGUGAGUGAUGAAGGCCUUAGGGUUGUAAAGCUCUUUUACCCGGGAUGAUAAUGACAGUACCGGGAGGAUAAGCUCCGGCUAACUCCGUGCCAGCCGCCGCGGUAA